rnacentral:lncRNA from 1 species
GUAACCCCAGACACCUGCACAUUCUCAUUCGGUGCUCAGUGGUCAUCAUCCCCUUCACCAUCCUCCUCUUCUUUCUCCUUCAUCUCUGGUGCUCUGACAAAAGAAUACGUCUCACAAAGCAGAGUCCAGAGACCGCAGGGCCAUGUGUGGAAGCAGGAUGGAGCAUGCAGAUGCUGCAGUCAAAGACCAAGAGCCUGGGGCGGACAGGACAGUGAACAGGGAGGACUCUGAUGAACAAGACCCUCGGGAGGUGACAUUCGCACACCUGGAUCACUGCAUUUUCACACAGAGAAAAAUCACUCGCCCUUCUCAGAGGCCCGAGAGACCCCCAACAGAAACCAGUGUGUACAUGGAACUCCCAAAUGCGGAGCCCGCAUUGCUUUCUCCUGACCAUGAGAACCAUAGAAAGGCCUUGAGGGGUCCUCAAGGAGACAAUAGCCCUGUCUCAAACCCUGCUUGCCAGCUCCAAUGUAACAGCACCUGGGACCUGAAGGCGUGAGACUGCAUCUUAGGGGAUCGCUCUUCCUCA